rnacentral:rRNA from 1 species
UACGGAGGGGGCUAGCGUUAUUCGGAAUUACUGGGCGUAAAGCGCGCGUAGGCGGUUUUCCAAGUUGGAGGUGAAAUCCCGGGGCUUAACUCCGGAACUGCCUUCAAAACUGGAUGACUAGAGUUCGAGAGAGGUAAGGGGAAUUCCUAGUGUAGAGGUGAAAUUCGUAGAUAUUCGGAAGAACACCAGUGGCGAAGGCGACUGACUGGACAAGUAUUGACGCUGAGGUGCGAAAGCGUGGGGAGCAAACAGG